UGAUGUAGACCAGAUCCUCAUGUAGCAAGCAGCUGCAGAUGCUGGUUUAGACCAGGUCCUCAUGUAGCAAGCAGCUGCAGAUGCUGAUGUAGACCAGGUCCUCAUGUAGCAAGCAGCUGCAGAUGCUGAUGUAGACCAGGUCCUCAUGUAGCAAGCAGCUGCAGAUGCUGAUGUAGACCAGGUCCUCAUGUAGCAAGCAGAUGCUGAUGUAGACCAGGUCCUCAUGUAGCAAGCAGCUGCAGAUGCUGAUGUAGACCAGGUCCUCAUGUAGCAAGCAGCUGCAGAUGCUGAUGUAGACCAGGUCCUCAUGUAGCAAGCAGCUGCAGAUGCUGGUUUAGACCAGGUCCUCAUGUAGCAAGCAGCUGCAGAUGCUGAUGUAGACCAGGUCCUCAUGUAGCAAGCAGCUGCAGAUGCUGAUGUAGACCAGAUCCUCAUGUAGCAAGCAGCUGCAGAUGCUGGUUUAGACCAGGUCCUCA
rnacentral:lncRNA from 1 species